rnacentral:misc_RNA from 1 species
UCUCCGUAGGUGAACCUGCGGAGGGAUCAUUACAGAGUUCUCGCCCUCGCGGGUAGAUCUCCCUCCCACUGUUAUCGUUACUGUGUUGCUUUGGCGGGCCGCCGGGCCCCGCUCGGCCGCCGGCUCCGGCUGGCGCGCGCCCGCCAGAGGCCCAGCAAACUCUGAAUGUUAGUGUCGUCUGAGUACUAUAUAAUAGUUAAAACUUUCAACAACGGAUCUCUUGGUUCUG